rnacentral:rRNA from 1 species
CAGCACAGGGAGCUUGCUCCCGGGUGGCGAGUGGCGCACGGGUGAGUAAUACAUCGGAACGUGUCCUGUUGUGGGGGAUAACUGCUCGAAAGGGUGGCUAAUACCGCAUGAGACCUGAGGGUGAAAGCGGGGGAUCGCAAGACCUCGCGCAAUUGGAGCGGCCGAUGCCCGAUUAGCUAGUUGGUGAGGUAAAGGCUCACCAAGGCGACGAUCGGUAGCUGGUCUGAGAGGACGACCAGCCACACUGGGACUGAGACACGGCCCAGACUCCUACGGGAGGCAGCAGUGGGGAAUUUUGGACAAUGGGGGCAACCCUGAUCCAGCCAUGCCGCGUGCAGGAUGAAGGCCUUCGGGUUGUAAACUGCUUUUGUCAGGGACGAAAAGGACCGUGUUAAUACCAUGGUCUGCUGACGGUACCUGAAGAAUAAGCACCGGCUAACUACGUGCCAGCAGCCGCGGUAAUACGUAGGGUGCAAGCGUUAAUCGGAAUUACUGGGCGUAAAGCGUGCGCAGGCGGUUCUGUAAGACAGAUGUGAAAUCCCCGGGCUUAACCUGGGAAUUGCAUUUGUGACUGCAGGACUAGAGUUCAUCAGAGGGGGGUGGAAUUCCAAGUGUAGCAGUGAAAUGCGUAGAUAUUUGGAAGAACACCAAUGGCGAAGGCAGCCCCCUGGGAUGCGACUGACGCUCAUGCACGAAAGCGUGAGGAGCAAACAGGAUU